rnacentral:rRNA from 1 species
UGAACGCUGGCGGCGUGCUUAACACAUGCAAGUCGAACGAAGCACUGGUUUGAAGUUUCGGACGGAAAAGCCUUGACUUAGUGGCGGACGGGUGAGUAACGCGUGGGCAACCUGCCGUAUGCAGGGGGACAACAGUUGGAAACGACUGCUAAUACCGCAUAAGCGCACGGGGACGCAUGUUUCUGUGUGAAAAGCCUAAACGGCAUACGAUGGGCCCGCGUUGGAUUAGGUAGUUGGUGAGGUAACGGCCCACCAAGCCGACGAUCCAUAGCCGACCUGAGAGGGUGACCGGCCACAUUGGGACUGAGACACGGCCCAAACUCCUACGGGAGGCAGCAGUGGGGAAUAUUGCACAAUGGGGGAAACCCUGAUGCAGCGACGCCGCGUGAGUGAAGAAGUAUUUCGGUAUGUAAAGCUCUAUCAGCAGGGAAGAAAAUGACGGUACCUGCACAAGAAGCCCCGGCUAACUACGUGCCAGCCGCCGC